rnacentral:rRNA from 1 species
GAUGAACGCUGGCGGCGUGCCUAAUACAUGCAAGUCGAGCGAACAGAUGAGGAGCUUGCUCCUCUGACGUUAUCGGCGGACGGGUGAGUAACACGUGGAUAACCUACCUAUAAGACUGGGAUAACUUCGGGAAACCGGAGCUAAUACCGGAUAAUAUAUUGAACCGCAUGGUUCAAUAGUGAAAGACGGUUUUGCUUUCACUUAUAGAUGGAUCCGCGCCGCAUUAGCUAGUUGGUAAGGUAACGGCUUACCAAGGCAACGAUGCGUAGCCGACCUGAGAGGGUGAUCGGCCACACUGGAACUGAGACACGGUCCAGACUCCUACGGGAGGCAGCAGUAGGGAAUCUUCCGCAAUGGGCGAAAGCCUGACGGAGCAACGCCGCGUGAGUGAUGAAGGUCUUCGGAUCGUAAAACUCUGUUAUUAGGGAAGAACAAAUGUGUAAGUAACUAUGCACGUCUUGACGGUACCUAAUCAGAAAGCCACGGCUAACUACGUG